UUGGGUUUCUUUUCCAUAUUUUGUUAGAAGCUCUUCGCCCAGUUUGACUCGAAUUCCUGAAUAAUUCAUAGUCUGUAAAUAGCUUCCUCCUCCUCUGAUAAAUAGACUCUUUGUCCCCCUGCCUUGGCACGCUCCGAGCAGUGUCAUCGUGCUGAGUCGCCGCUUGGAGAGCCGGGGUGCUCACGGUGCCGUGUGUGCUCUCUCCGCAGAGUUAUGUCAUGCCCAGACCACCGAAGGGCUCCAUGAGGAUUUAUAGAAGAUGCCCCGUGUCUUGGCGCCUCUGGUGCUCCUUCUGCUGUGGCUGAUGAGGAUCGCUGCCAGCCCCCACUCCCUGAGGAUCGCUCGGAGCCAAACUCAGCAAAGCUGGAUUUUCUGCAGAAGGCUCCAGUGCGGCUUGAGAUAGGCUCGUGCACCGCCCUGCGUUACCGAUUCCCACUGCCCAGCGCCUCGCCCUGGGCUUUGCCUGUGGCCAGUUGAGGAAGGAUGGAUUUCACGUGCUCGGUGGUGAGCCUGACUUCACA
rnacentral:lncRNA from 1 species